CUAACUGUCGAAUACACGCAUACACGGCUAUGUGAAACCACCGGUAUUCAAGUGAAAACUUCAUCAAAAUAGACAAUGAACCACCUCAAACAGAUCUGUUUGGGUUAAUUUAUCAUUGGUUUUUCUUGAAGUCGAAUGUAUUGCUGUAGAUAGUCAGUGUUCUCCGUUAUGUCAAUCUAAAGGAAUCAUUCUGCGAC